AACGAACGCUGGCGGCAUGCCUAACACAUGCAAGUCGAACGAGACCUUCGGGUCUAGUUGCGCACGGGUGCGUAACGCGUGGUAACCUGCCCUUAGGUUCGGAAUAACUCCCCGAAAGGGGUGCUAAUACCGGAUAAUGUCUUCGGACCAAAGAUUUAUCGCCUUUGGAUGGGCCCGCGUUGGAUUAGCUAGUUGGUAGGGUAAAAGCCUACCAAGGCGACGAUCCAUAGCUGGUCUGAGAGGAUGAUCAGCCACUCUGGGACUGAGACACGGCCCAGACUCCUACGGGAGGCAGCAGUGGGGAAUAUUGGACGAGGGGCGGGAGCGUAAUCCAGCAAUGCCGCGUGAGUGAUGAAGGCAUUAGGGUUGUAAAGCUCUUUUACCCGGGAUGAUAAUGACAGUACCGGGAGAAUAAGCUCCGGCUAACUCCGUG
rnacentral:rRNA from 1 species